AACCUCCGCAAUGUGAGAAAUCGCGACGGGGGGAUCCCAAGUGCCAUUCUUAACGGGAUGGCUUUUCAUUAGUGUAAAGAGCUUUUGGAAUAAGGGCUGGGCAAGACCGGUGCCAGCCGCCGCGGUAACACCGGCAGCUCUAGUGGUAGCAGUUUUUAUUGGGCCUAAAGCGUCCGUAGCCGGUUUAAUAAGUCUCUGGUGAAAUCCUGUAGCUUAACUGUGGGAAUUGCUGGAGAUACUAUUAGACUUGAGACCGGGAGAGGUUAGAGGUACUCCCAGGGUAGAGGUGAAAUUCUGUAAUCCUGGGAGGACCGCCUGUUGCGAAGGCGUCUAACUGGAACGGUUCUGACGGUGAGGGACGAAAGUUAGGGGCGCGAACCGGAUUAGAUACCCGGGUAGUCCUAACUGUAAACGAUGCGGACUUGGUGUUGGGGUGGCUUUGAGCUGCUCCAGUGCCGAAGGGAAGCUGUUAAGUCCGCUGCCUGGGAAGUACGGUCGCAAGACUGAAACUUAAAGGAAUU
rnacentral:rRNA from 1 species